GUCGCCAUCACGCCGCCGGCCGUUCCUCACUUCCCGGCAACGGCGGCCAGGAGGAAUUCUGCCGCAUCUUCAAACAGCAGCCGCAUCGGACUGCGUGUUAAGGACGAGAAGAGUCUCUGGGGAAGGACAGUGAGGAUUGUUCAGGGCUGGGCUGGUCACCAUACCAUCUACUGCACUAUAGAUUAGCUAAGUUAUUUCUUCCAGGCAAAUUAGGAGAGCAAAAAAAACCAGUUGUUUCUAUAUUUUCAUUUACUGGCUCGGGAACUAUAUAUAGAGUUUUAUCUGAGCAAUGCCUGGGAAGCGAUAUGAUCACAUAUCGAUGAGUUACGCUACGUACUUUCCUUCAAUAAGAAUAUUUCUAGAUUUUUAUUGCCUUCUGCAAAAAAAAAAUGAGUACAAAAUCUCAUUAUCUCAAAUUUGUAAGGUAGAUUCUUAGCUUUCUAGUAGUUAGUUCUAUUGUUUAUACUAUUAAUAUAUAUCAAAAGUCAGCUAAUCUUUCGUUCUUCGUACUUCGUACACGAAAGAACGGAGGCUUAGUCAUCUCUUCAGGUCAAGAAUAUUGUAUCCUACAACGCAAAUGUCUAGAGAUCACAACGAUCACAACAGGGCAGUGACAUGGCUAUGACUCUAUGAAUGUUGAUGAAACAAAGUCAUUCAUCUAUGUCUGUUGUUCGGCAGUUCACCUCACCAUUCAGCUUGUAAUUAAAGAAGUGCAUGUUGAUGUGUGGCACUGGAGUUUCUGUGAUCUUUAAU
rnacentral:lncRNA from 1 species